UACGAAGGGGGCUAGCGUUGCUCGGAAUCACUGGGCGUAAAGCGCACGUAGGCGGCUUUCUAAGUCAAGGGUGAAAUCCUGGAGCUCAACUCCAGAACUGCCUUUGAUACUGGAGAGCUUGAGUCCGGGAGAGGUGAGUGGAACUCCGAGUGUAGAGGUGAAAUUCGUAGAUAUUCGGAAGAACACCAGUGGCGAAGGCGGCUCACUGGCCCGGUACUGACGCUGAUGUGCGAAAGCGUGGGGAGCAAACAGGG
rnacentral:rRNA from 1 species